rnacentral:rRNA from 1 species
CGACAGCGACCCCAGGUCAGGCG